CGCACGAUGGGCUGGCCGUGGCCGGUCAGGCUCGUGUCGUAGCGCGGGAACAUGGUCGGGUACUUCGGCUGUUCGAGCUUGCUUUCGCGCGU
rnacentral:tRNA from 1 species